rnacentral:rRNA from 1 species
GAUGAACGCUGGCGGCGUGCCUAAUACAUGCAAGUCGAGCGAACGGACGAGAAGCUUGCUUCUCUGAUGUUAGCGGCGGACGGGUGAGUAACACGUGGAUAACCUACCUAUAAGACUGGGAUAACUUCGGGAAACCGGAGCUAAUACCGGAUGAUAUUUUGAACCGCAUGGUUCAAAAGUGAAAGACGGUCUUGCUGUCACUUAUAGAUGGGUCCGCGCUGCAUUAGCUAGUUGGUAAGGUAACGGCUUACCAAGGCAACGAUGCAUAGCCGACCUGAGAGGGUGAUCGGCCACACUGGAACUGAGACACGGUCCAGACUCCUACGGGAGGCAGCAGUAGGGAAUCCUCCGCAAUGGGCGAAAGCCUGACGGAGCAACGCCGCGUGAGUGAUGAAGGUCUUCGGAUCGUAAAACUCUGUUAUUAGGGAAGAACAUAUGUGUAAGUAACUGUGCACAUCUUGACGGUACCUAAUCAGAAAGCCACGGCUAACUACGUG